AUUGAACGCUGGCGGCAGGCCUAACACAUGCAAGUCGAGCGGAUGAAGGGAGCUUGCUCCUGGAUUCAGCGGCGGACGGGUGAGUAAUGCCUAGGAAUCUGCCUGGUAGUGGGGGAUAACGUCCGGAAACGGGCGCUAAUACCGCAUACGUCCUGAGGGAGAAAGUGGGGGAUCUUCGGACCUCACGCUAUCAGAUGAGCCUAGGUCGGAUUAGCUAGUUGGUGGGGUAAAGGCCUACCAAGGCGACGAUCCGUAACUGGUCUGAGAGGAUGAUCAGUCACACUGGAACUGAGACACGGGCCAGACUCCUACGGGAGGCAGCAGUGGGGAAUAUUGGACAAUGGGCGAAAGCAUGAUCCAGCCAUGCCGCGUGUGUGAAGAAGGUCUUCGGAUUGUAAAGCACUUUAAGUUGGGAGGAAGGGCAGUAAGUUAAUACCUUGCUGUUUUGACGGUACCAACAGAAUAAGCACCGGCUAACUUCGUG
rnacentral:rRNA from 1 species